rnacentral:tRNA from 1 species
GAUUUUUAGCUCAACUGGUAGAGCGUUUGCCUGAUAAGCGAAAUGUUGCCGGUUCGAUUCCGGUGGAAUCUU